GAGGAAUUUUCCACAAUGGGCGAAAGCCUGAUGGAGCGACGCUGCGUGCGGGGUGACGGCCUUCGGGUUGUAAACCGCUUUUUUCAGGGACGAUAAUGACGGUACCUGAAGAAUAAGCAACGGCUAACUACGUGCCAGCAGCCGCGGUAAUACGUAGGUUGCAAGCGUUAUCCGGAAUUACUGGGCGUAAAGCGUCCGCAGGUGGAUUUGUAAGUGAGUCGCUAAAUUUUCGCGCUUAACGUGAAAAAUGUGAUUCAUACUGCAAGUCUAGAGAUUAGUAGGGGAAGCUGGAAUUACCGGUGUAGCAGUGACAUGCGUUGAUAUCGGUAGGAACACCAAUGGCGAAGGCAGGCUUCUGGGCUAUAUCUGACACUAAGGGACGAAAGCGUGGGGAGAGAAC
rnacentral:rRNA from 1 species